CAGUGCCUAUCGGUAGGGAACA
rnacentral:miRNA from 9 species